AGGGUUUUGAUCAUGGCUCAGAUUGAACGCUGGCGGCAUGCUUUACACAUGCAAGUCGAACGGCAGCACGGGUGCUUUGCACCUGGUGGCGAGUGGCGGACGGGUGAGUAAUGCAUCGGAACGUGUCCUGAAGUGGGGGAUAACGCAUCGAAAGAUGUGCUAAUACCGCAUAUUCUCUAAGGAGGAAAGUAGGGGAUCGAAAGACCUUAUGCUUUNGGAGNUGCCGAUGUCUGAUUAGCUAGUUGGUAAGGUAAUGGCUUACCAAGGCGACGAUCAGUAGUUGGUCUGAGAGGACGACCAGCCACACUGGGACUGAGACACGGCCCAGACUCCUACGGAAGGCGAGCAG
rnacentral:rRNA from 1 species